rnacentral:rRNA from 1 species
CACGUAGGCACCAAGCGUUGUCCGGAUUUAUUGGGCGUAAAGAGCUCGUAGGCGGUUCGGUAAGUCGGGUGUGAAAACUUUGGGCUCAACCCAAAGCGUGCACUCGAUACUGCCAUGACUCGAGUCCGGUAGGGGAGUGCGGAAUUCCUGGUGUAGCGGUGAAAUGCGCAGAUAUCAGGAGGAACACCGGUGGCGAAGGCGGCACUCUGGGCCGGUACUGACGCUGAGGAGCGAAAGCGUGGGGAGCGAACAGG